rnacentral:lncRNA from 1 species
GUGGGGAUCAUAAACCAAAUCUACCUAAGAGGUUCAUGCCAUUCAUGCAGCCAAAUCACAUCUCGGGAGGAGAGCCGCAGCUGAAGCCCCCAGGGCACACUCUCAGCAACCCUUACGUAAGCUAGCAACCAAGAAGGGAGAGAUCUUUGGAUGAUGAGUUAAGUCACUGAAAUUAUCCACAGAAUGCUCAGAUGCAAACCAUGGUCCUAAGGCUCCCUGAAUGCCAUCUCCAUGUGCCUAAAGACCUUGCGAUUUUAUUCAUUGCUGUAUCUCCAGCUCCCAGAACUAUGUCUGGAACAGAACAGGUCUCCUAAUAAGUUAAAGGACGCAUUGCACGUAAUCAAAGAAGAGGACAUACAGCAUUUUCACCUCGAGAUUGUUCACCAGACAGGGGCUGAAUCCUGAGUGAAAGUGGCAUGGAGCAGAACUGAAGCCAAUCUAUAAUAGACACGUAACAUGAGCAAUAAAACAUCCUUUGUUGUAAACCCCUUGGAUUUGAGGGUCAUUUGUUACUGUAAUAUAACCUAGCCUCUGCUGAGUGAUAGAGGUAUGUAAGUUUACUGAAAGCCCUGUGCUUUCCACAACCAUGCUUUCAGUUCAUAUGGCCGGAUACUGUUUGAUUCACAUGUAACCAGUAAACAUUUCUGGCAUCUAGUAAACUGGUACAAACUAAAAACUUUUAUAUAUCCAAUAAAAUUGCAUAUAAUGAUUUCCAUUUCUGUGACCCAUUUUUCUCAUUUAUCUCUUUACUGCAAGCUGUGUAAGCCCCGAUUCUGCCUUUCUUACUAGGUUUAGA